GCGCCUCGCUAGGGGUCCUGGAACUGUCGUUCCGGGUGAGAGAUACCCUUCGUACCUGAUCUGGAUAAUGCCAGCGAAGGAAAGCGCGCCAAGCAGUUC
rnacentral:ncRNA from 2 species